rnacentral:rRNA from 1 species
CCUACGGGAGACAGCAGUGAGGAAUAUUGGUCAAUGGGCGAGAGCCUGAACCAGCCAAGUCGCGUGAGGGAGUACUGCCCUAUGGGUUGUAAACCUCUUUUGUCGGGGAGCAAAAGCGGGACGUGUCCGGCUGUGAGAGUACCCGAAGAAAAAGCAUCGGCUAACUCCGUGCCAGCAGCCGCGGUAAUACGGAGGAUGCGAGCGUUAUCCGGAUUUAUUGGGGUUAAAGGGUGCGCAGGCGGAUUUUUAAGUCAGCGGUCAAAUCGUGGGGCUCAACCCCAUCCAGCCGUUGAAACUGGGGAUCUAGAGUGUGCGAGAGGUAUGCGGAAUGCGUGGUGUAGCGGUGAAAUGCAUAGAUAUCACGCAGAACCCCGAUUGCGAAGGCAGCAUACCGGUGCACAACUGACGCUCAGGCACGAAAGCGUGGGUAUCGAACAGGAUUAGAUACCCUUGUAGUC